rnacentral:rRNA from 1 species
AACAGGGAUUGCCUCAGUAACGGCGAGUGAAGCGGCAAAAGCUCAAAUUUGAAAGCCUCGGCAUUGUAAUUUGAAGAAAUAAAACCCCCGGCAAGGCGAAACAAGUCCAUUGGAAAAUGGCGCCACAGAGGGUGACAGCCCCGUAGUUUCUACCCGCGCCAUCCCGUUUUAUUUCCAAGAGUCGAGUUGUUUGGGAUUGCAGCUCUAACGGUGGUAAAUUCCAUCAAAAGCUAAAUACUGGCGAGAGACCGAUAGCGAACAAGUACAGUGAUGGAAAGAUGAAAAGCACUUUGAAAAGAGAGUGAAAAAGUACGUGAAAUUGUUGAAAGGGAAGGGCUUGCUCGGCUGCGGAGGUCGGGGAAAAGGAGGCCAAAACAAGCAAGGAAUGUAACUCUCGAGUAUUAUAUCCUCGCCCACACCCUCACCUUUCCCCGUGGACCGCUAACAGGAUCUCCCUACAUCCUAGCAAGUCGCCCGUCUUGAAACAC